CUCAUCUUUAAGUUGCACUGAUACAUGUGUAUGAUGCAAAGAAGUGGACAGGGAGAAAAGUGUGAAGGUUCAUACUGAACGUAACCCCUUAACCACAUAGUUCUGUUUUGGAAGAGAAAUAGUUGCCCUAUGUCAGUAUCAGCGAAGUCUAUUUAGUGCCAUACACAAAGACCCUGGACAGACAGUCUCUGAGAAGGAUUUCCACACUAUUUCUCUUUGAGGCAACACAUAGAGCACUGUUCGUCCUCAUGUUUUUUACACAAAAUAUGGAACAUUUGAAAGUCUAUAGGGAAAUUGGGAUACAACCCAUGCAGGUGUCUGUGGUAAAAUUAGAAAUGAACUUUAUAAUGAAAACAUCAGUGUAAUAUUUGAUCUAAUCAGAAAUAAUUUGCAUAGCAUUGUAUCAGAGAUUUUAACAUCCUAAUGCUAUUACCUUUGAAUACAGGAAAAAAGUCUUUCAAAACUAUGCUUGGUGUAAGCAUCCUGUUUUCAUUUACAGUUCUUGUAGUCUCAUUGGAAAUAACCUUCUUCAUUUGUGGCCUGCUAUUUGCCCUGGUUGUGGAAGAAUGGGUUUGGGAUUAUGCUGUAACAGUUACUGUUAUUCAUAUCAUCAUAACCUCAGUUGUUAUGUCUGAAUUCCCUCUGAUGUUACACUGGUGGCUGGCAUUAGAAUCUCCGUAUUCUGAUUCAUCAACAAAAACUACACACGCUUUUCUCUUGAGUCUGAUAUUGUCAAGAAUGUGCAGAUGGAAAGGAUUAGAGACUACAGCAAACCAGAAACUGAGUGAAAAUUCUUACUGGCUAUGGGGAUUUCCAGUCAGUUCUUCCUAGAAAAACUGAAAUACUAUUUAUAGUACUCAACUUAUUGCAGAAGGGUACAGUGACCAAACUGUUACUUAUAGGAAAAAUCUUCUAAUUUUUCAUCAAACGUAUGAGUUUUAUCUUUGUGGCACUACUUAUUUCUAAGCUAUCCAUGGUCCCAAAAUGCAUACUGGUGAACUAGGAACAUUUUACGUACUGUGACUUCCCUUCAUUUCUACAGUUCCAGUGAUUUGAAUAUUAUCAACACAAUGAAGUGCUUCAUUAGGAUAAGUCAUUAUUAUAAAUCAAGCAUUCUGAGACAGAAAAUAUGAAGUGUAUCUUUGUUUGCAACCUUCCCUUUUACAAGUUGCUGUGUGCAUUAUGACCAUCCUUGAAUUACAUUCACAUACUUAUUUUUUGAGAUUUUUGCCUGGUUCAAUGCCCAGGAUGGAUGCAUGAGAAAGGCAGGAUUAGGCUGAAGGGAUAUUCUCAAUUUGGAGUGCAGCAGAAAGGAUGCAAUUAAUAUAACUUGAAAACCUGGAGUUACCACUGUGAUUGUCUGCUCUGUGGCCACCUGAUCUCCAGAACAGAGACCACAGAAUUCCCUCAGUAAUCCCAAU
rnacentral:lncRNA from 1 species